rnacentral:rRNA from 1 species
GAUCCUGGGCUCAGAUUGAACGCUGGCGGCAGGCCUAACACAUGCAAGUCGAACGGUAACAGGAAGAAGCUUGCUUCUUUGCUGACGAGUGGCGGACGGGUGAGUAAUGUCUGGGAAACUGCCUGAUGGAGGGGGAUAACUACUGGAAACGGUAGCUAAUACCGCAUAACGUCGCAAGACCAAAGAGGGGGGACCUUCGGACCUCUUGCCAUCGGAUGUGCCCAGAUGGGAUUAGCUAGUAGGUGGGGUAACGG